UACGUAGGGCGCAAGCGUUGUCCGGAAUUAUUGGGCGUAAAGAGCUCGUAGGCGGCUUGUCGCGUCGACUGUGAAAUCCCGCGGCUCAACUGCGGGUCUGCAGUCGAUACGGGCAGGCUAGAGUUCGGUAGGGGAGACUGGAAUUCCUGGUGUAGCGGUGAAAUGCGCAGAUAUCAGGAGGAACACCGAUGGCGAAGGCAGGUCUCUGGGCCGAUACUGACGCUGAGGAGCGAAAGCGUGGGGAGCGAGCAGG
rnacentral:rRNA from 1 species